rnacentral:rRNA from 1 species
AUGAACCCUUCCUCUGCACCGGGACCGGAUGGCCUCCCGAUUAAAUUUUUCCAGACCUUAUGGAACGUGAUUAAACUAGAGGUCAUGACCAUCUUCGACGAGUUCUACGUUGGCUCCAUCGAUCUAGGGCGUCUCAAUUACGGGAUCAUAUCUCUCAUCCCCAAGGUCCCUGGGGUGUCUGACAUUCGCCAGUUUCGCCCGAUCACGGUUAUUAAUGUGAUCUUCCGGAUCCUGGCCAAGGGGUACGCCAAUAGGGUGACCCUGCUGGCCGACCGUGUGACUCACCCCAACCAGUCGGCCUUCAUUAAGGGCCGGUACAUCUUGGAUGGGGUCCUCGUCCUUCAUGAAGUCCUGCAUGAGGUGCGCGUCAAACGCCUCAAGGCGGUUUUCCUGAAGAUUGACUUCCACAAGGCCUACAAUACAGUUAGCUGGCCCUUCCUCCGGGAGGUCCUUCUUCGGAAGGGUUUCGACGACCGGUGGAUCACUACAGUCAUGCAGAUGGUCUCUUGCGGUAGCAUGGCCGUGAACAUCAAUGGUGAGAUUGGCCCUUUCUUCCCCACCCUUUGUGGGGUUCGGCAAGGCAACCCCUUCUCCCCGUUCUGGAUAAGGCGAAAGCCGCUGGACAUAUUCGUGGGAUUACUCCCCACCUUGCCGGUGGCUUUGGGAUCUCCAUCCUCCAAUAUGCUGACGACACUAUCAUCAUGGUCGAAGGCUCGGAGACGGACAUCUCCAACCUCAAGUUCCUCCUUCUCUGCUUCCAACAGAUGUCGAGCCUCAAGAUCAACUUCGACAAGAGUGAUGUUAUGGUGA